UCUGCCGGAGGGACAGUAUAAGAGGAUUAUUGUGCUGUAUAACAGACACAGCGUUUCAUUAAGUGCUUGCCAGCGCUGCUAGACUAAAUCUUAGUAUUUUAAAAAACGAAUAUUGCUGCAGAGGUAUCCCUUUCUAAGGAGAGAAUUUAAAAACAAAGGAUAAUGAGUAUUUUUACUCAGCGUGAUUGUUUGUCUGUUAGUCCACUGUUUUUUUAGUGUUAAUCCGUUUUGUUUGUCUGUUUAUUUUGGCCACAAGUGCCAUGUCUUGUUUUCUGUUUAAACCUUUUAUUUUACAAUAAAUCCCUGAGCGCCGCAGCGCUUCAGUUUCACUUGCCACUACUGUCUGUCUGUGUACUCCUUUCUGGUCUGACGUCACCUCUACAGCUAGCCUGUCACAGGCUCGCUAUGCCUUCUAUCGAGCAGGAUAUUGCCAAGGAAACUGAUUUUCACACAGUACUUCACGACCAUGGCCAUAACUAGCUAUGAGGACACCGAGGCCGUGACCUCAGUUUUUUUAUUUUUUUAUUUAUCCGUGCUGAUGCUCAUGUAAAAAUUCUGGUUUGGAGAAGGAUGCCGGUUCGCUGCUGACAGAGGGAUGCCAGGAGUGCACAUACAGGAGGUGGAGGCUGAACACUGCAGACACUUCAUCCUGCCAUGCACUUGCUUUACAAAGAUCUCCGAUUUGCUAUAAAUGUAUUGAUAUCAGAAUGACUGUGCUGCAGACUGACUGCCUUCUGUCUCAUGGGUCAAACCUGUCAACUAACUUUACAAGCAAAGGGUUACUUCUGAGUAAAGAGCAUUUGCACCAA